AUGCUCACUCUGGCAGCAUAUAUGCUAAAAUUAGAACAAUACAGAGAAGAUUAGCAUGACCCUGUGCAAGGGUGACAUGCAACUUCAUAAAAUGUUCCCGUGUCUC